CGAAGACGAGCUCUGAGAUUUAAACUUCAUUUAUUUUACAACAAAAACUAUGAUUUUGUCAUGGUCUCGGUCAGCAGAUUAACAUGAUUCUACCAGUUUAGAUAAACGAACCAGACCAGCUCUUAACUGAUGGGAUGUUGGAGAUCAGAUUCACCAUCUCCCCCUGAGAAGCAUCUGGACAGUGAGUUUGAGCAGGAAGCUCUUAGUAAGGAUGAUGAAGGGGAUGUGAAGCUCCGAGUCUCUAUCUGAAGUUCUGGAUGAUCAUGAGGUUAUAGCUGGAGGAGUGAGACUUUGGCUUCUACAGACCUACAGAGACAGAUAAUCCUGACUAAUCCUGCUCCUGGUGAGCCACUUUCCUGAGUUUAGCUCCAACCUGAUUAAAAACACCUGAAACAGCUAAUCAAGAUCUUUAGGAUUACUAGAAACUUACAGGUAGGUUUAUUGGGUUCUAUGUUUCUAAUUCAUAUAAAACUUGAUUUCAAUAAACAAAUGAUGUUGUUUACAAGAUGUGUUUGUGUUAUCAGUUUCAUGCAUUUAAACACAAGACUGACAUUUGACAGAUAUUAGUUAAUAAAUCGAUUGGAUUUCCCCCCCCCCACAACAGUUUAUUUGGUACAAUAUUUCACUCAUACUCAUCAAACAGAUUUGAUAUCAGCAUAUUCCCCUGCAAAAUCUCACAACAAACACAGAGAACUGGACAUCUUUCUAGUCCUGCUAUGAGGCUGGAAUUCCAUUCUUCUUAAUAUUUGUGUGAAAAAAAUGGUGUGGUUUAAAUGCGGGUCUUUGAAGAACAAAAAUACAACAGUGGCAUGUUCAAAUCUCACAAAUGCAGUAAUCUCUUUUCUGUUUUAACAAUGUAAAUUUACAAGACCUAAAAACAAACCAACCUUCAUCCCAAAUUCUGUGGCACAGAGGUUAAUCGUUUGCCUUAAAAUGUGAAAGUCUCAGCUCAAAUUCUUUGGGUUAUAGUUUUCGUCAUAUGACACAAAGUUCUCAAGAAUAUCACGGUCAAAACACAGUUGAAAUCCACACAGUCAGUGUCUCAGAAGAUUAAAAAUGUUACUUGUGUUAGCUUUAAUUAAUGCUGUAGCUAAACAUAACAUCUAAAAGACCCGUGAAACAAACUUUUCCACUGUGUUACAAACUCAGUGACUCAGGAGGUAAAGCGUUUCGAUUUUUAAUCUUGGAGGCCUGAGUUCGAAUCUCACUACUGUGUUAAAUUGCAGCUUUGUGGCUUAGUGGUUGAGUGUUUGCGUCCCAUAAACAGAAGUCUGGGUUCAAAUCCCACACUUGUGUGCUAAUCAUUAUUUAAAACAAAGCUCUCAAUAAAACCAUGUCCAAAAGACACAACAACAACUCCAGUAGCUCAGUGGAUAGAGCUUGGGUCUUUCAUCUUGGAGAACGAAGUUCAAAUCCCACUAUUGCUUAUAUUAAAUUGCUGCCAUUAAAUCCAACAAAGUUCCCCAAACAACAGUGCUCAUUGUGAAAGCCAAGAUGGCUCCAGUGGUUAAACACAUUGGUUGGGGACAAGAUUAUGGUAAAGGUGCGGGUUCAAAUCCCACCUCAGCAUGUUAAAACUUUAACUGGUUUAUGUCACAGGCGAAUAGUGAAAUAUAAGUUCUUUCACAUGUUCAGACAAGAGAUCUGUGGCUCACAGGUUAGAGUGCUGCCUCAUGGUUCAGAGGUUGCUGGUUCAAUCCCAGCCAGAUCUCUGUGAUAUGAGUGAGUGUUGUGUGAAUGAAGGAGUGGGGAUGAUUCGGGUCCCCCCCGAGCCCCGGCACGAUGUCCAGCAGGGGUUAUACUUCUUGACAGA